rnacentral:rRNA from 1 species
AGAGUUUGAUCCUGGCUCAGGAUGAACGCUGGCGGCGUGCUUAACACAUGCAAGUCGAACGAAACACCUUAUUUGAUUUUCUUCGGAACUGAAGAUUUGGUGAUUGAGUGGCGGACGGGUGAGUAACGCGUGGGUAACCUACCCUGUACAGGGGGAUAACAGUCAGAAAUGACUGCUAACACCGCAUAAGACCACAGCACCGCAUGGUGCAGGGGUAAAAACUCCGGUGGUACAGGAUGGACCCGCGUCUGAUUAGCUGGUUGGUGAGGUAACGGCUCACCAAGGCGACGAUCAGUAGCCGGCUUGAGAGAGUGAACGGCCACAUUGGGACUGAGACACGGCCCAAACUCCUACGGGAGGCAGCAGUGGGGAAUAUUGCACAAUGGGGGAAACCCUGAUGCAGCGACGCCGCGUGAGUGAAGAAGUAUUUCGGUAUGUAAAGCUCUAUCAGCAGGGAAGAAAAUGACGGUACCUGACUAAGAAGCCCCGGCUAACUACGUGCCAGCAGCCGCGGUAAUACGUAGGGGGCAAGCGUUAUCCGGAAUUACUGGGUGUAAAGGGUGCGUAGGUGGUAUGGCAAGUCAGAAGUGAAAACCCAGGGCUUAACUCUGGGACUGCUUUUGAAACUGUCAGACUGGAGUGCAGGAGAGGUAAGCGGAAUUCCUAGUGUAGCGGUGAAAUGCGUAGAUAUUAGGAGGAACAUCAGUGGCGAAGGCGGCUUACUGGACUGAAACUGACACUGAGGCACGAAAGCGUGGGGAGCAAACAAGAUUAGAUACCCUGGUAGUCCACGCCGUAAACGAUGA